rnacentral:rRNA from 1 species
GACAAUUGUCCGACCAAAGUGUCCGCCUGAAGAACUACGAGCACAAACGCUUAAACUCUAAGGACUUGGCGGUGCCUCAAACCCACCUAGAGGAGCCUGUUCUAUAAUCGAUAACCCACGCUACACCCGACCGCUCUUUGCAUGCUCAGCCUACAUACCGCCGUCGCCAGUCCACCUAUCUUGAAAGAACAACAGUGAACACAAUAGCCUUAACCACGCUAAAAAGACAGGUCAAGGUAUAGCCGAUAGAGCGGAAGAAAUGGGCUACAUUUUCUAAUUUAGAAAACUACGAAAGGGGGCAUGAAACUACCCCCAGAAGGCGGAUUUAGCAGUAAAGUUGGAUCACAGUGCCAUUUUUAAACCGGCCCCGGGGCACGUACAUACCGCCCGUCACCCUCCUCGCAAGCUACUUACAUGAGUAAUUAACAUUAAUUUCUAGCCAAAGACGAGGU